rnacentral:rRNA from 1 species
UACGUAGGUGGCAAGCGUUGUCCGGAUUUACUGGGCGUAAAGAGCGCGCAGGCGGUCGUUCAAGUCGCGUGUGAAAGCCCCCGGCUCAACUGGGGAGGGUCACGCGAUACUGAUCGACUCGAAGGCAGGAGAGGGUAGUGGAAUUCCCGGUGUAGUGGUGAAAUGCGUAGAUAUCGGGAGGAACACCAGUGGCGAAGGCGACUACCUGGCCUGUUCUUGACGCUGAGGCGCGAAAGCUAGGGGAGCAAACGGGGAU